UCUGUCCUACGGGAGGCAGCAGUGGGGAAUAUUGGGCAAUGGGCGCAAGCCUGACCCAGCAACGCCGCGUGAAGGAAGAAGGCUUUCGGGUUGUAAACUUCUUUUAAGGGGGACGAACAAAUGACGGUACCCCUUGAAUAAGCCACGGCUAACUACGUGCCAGCAGCCGCGGUAAUACGUAGGUGGCAAGCGUUAUCCGGAUUUACUGGGUGUAAAGGGCGUGCAGCCGGGAGUGCAAGUCAGAUGUGAAAUCCCGCGGCUCAACCGCGGAACUGCAUUUGAAACUGUGCUUCUUGAGUGCUGGG
rnacentral:rRNA from 1 species